rnacentral:lncRNA from 1 species
CUAGCGCUUGUUAAGGGACUUCUACGCAUUUAACGGGCAAUUGAAAAGGGGGAACUAUCCUAGCGUCGAGAAAGUCUCUCUAUAGCGGUGGAUGGUUGCAGGAAGCGGGCUACAAUCUAGGCAGCUCAAACAAUCAAUAUGGUUUUCUCUGUGUUGGAGACGACUUAUCAGCAUGACAGUCUGAUGUACCUGCUGGACUACUUACUCCCUGCCAAGCAUCUUCUAUACAAACUACAGCAGCAUGCCUGUCCCUUCUGUUGAAGAAGAGAGAGGUCUUACAGUGAUAGUGGACAGCAGACAGUCUCCCCCCUCUACUCUCUGCCUCGCUGCACUGAAACAAUUCCGGACUGUUCCCCUGAGUGUGGAUAAACACAGAGAGCUGAUGACGAGCGUCCUGGUCAACCAACAGCUAACUGAGCUGCAGCUGAAGGGCGGGGCCUGGCUGGCAGGACUGACCACAUCAGGACUGGCAAAGAGAUCCCCGGACUGCAGGGAUGCCUUGGCUGUGACCUCAAACCUCUAUGAUAGUGUGGACAACGCCCUCCACCGCCUCAUCCAGAUGUCCAAUCACAGAGUCAGCGCCCUGGAAGCCCUCGGUCGAUUGGCUGCCAUGGUGGACAAACUGGAAAAGCAAGCUCUAUCUAUUAUGGUGUAGGAUGCUGUGUUCAGGGAGGCAGUACGUGGCCGUGUUAAAGGGUGUGGAGGAGACCUACCUGCCCCUCUUGGAGGGUCCAGACACCCCGUCCUCCCUCCGGGGGAAAGCAGGCCUCCUUUUCCACAACUUGGCCAGCUUCAGCACCUUCCACUCGCAGUACCUCCUCCCAACCAUGGAGGGAGCUCUACUGCAGAGUCUGCUGAAACAGGACCUCUUCAGUAAACAUAGAGAGGAGUUUCUCCAGUACUCUCACUACAUAUAGUGAGGACCAAACCAGAAGUGGACUCCUUGUUGGUCACUUAGGCUAGACUUCUUCAAGCUCAGACUCCCUGCCACCCCUCCUCUCUCCCUCCUGUCCUUCCCCCACUGUCUCCAGGCCCCUACACAGACUGGAACAGUACUGUGAUGUUCUAGAGGAGCUGGGAAGGUUAAACCCCGCCUCUGACUCCUUCCUCUCCGUCCUCAGACACGCCCAGCGCCACGGUGAGGACCUCCGGGCCAGCGACCUCAUCGUCAGGUGUCCGGUCCCGGUGGCGGAGCGUGGAGAUCUGGUGCGUCAGGUGUGUGGGAGGACCAGGAGGAAGAAUACCGGGGUGUGUUCCUCUAUCAACCCCUCAUCAUCUUCACCAAGCAGAAGAGCCCGGGACACACCGCCUACAGCUUCAAUCACAGCAUCAAGUGUCAGAGUGGAGAGGAGAGGGCAGCCUGGACACACGAUAUCGCUCAGCUCCUUUGGACCCACACCAUACACAAUACAGUUCACAGUAGCUGUUCAGACUCCUCCUCUGUUGGCAGUCAGAAGGAGGGGGAAUCCCCAGCAUCUGGGAGGGGACACACACACAGAAACUGGAUUCCGGACUCCAAAACAACUUACAUUUUACAUUUACAUAACUUCUCUAUUGGAAGUGUAAACCUGGAGAUAAAGCAAACAAAGAGACAUUACGGCUCUAACUAACCCAGGAUCUAGCAUCAACAGAGCCUGCUGUGGAUGGCCAUGUUGGAUCGGCCGGACACAGUUGCUCGCAGAGUCAUUGAUACCGUGGACACUCCAGCCACACAGAAGGAGCAUUGUCCUCCCUCUGCGGCUCCCCGCUAGGCCAAACCACUCUGUCUGAACCACUGACUGGCAGCCAUGGCCUAGUGUGUGUGUGUGUGUGUGUGU